rnacentral:rRNA from 1 species
CUCUUGAUUUAAAAGCGGCGCAUCUGUUUGGAUUAUACAAAUGAAUCAAAACUUUCAACAACGGAUCUCUUGGUUCUGGCAUCGAUGAAGAACGCAGCGAAAUGCGAUAAGUAAUGUGAAUUGCAGAAUUCAGUGAAUCAUCGAAUCUUUGAACGCACAUUGCGCCCGCUAGUAUUCUGGCGGGCAUGCCUGUCCGAGCGUCAUUUCAACCCUCGGGAGCCCCUUUGCGGGGGCUGCCGGUGUUGGGGAUCGCCCGCCGCCACGGUGGACGUCCCCUAAAACGAUUGGCGGUCUCGCUGUAGCCUCCUCUGCGCAGUAGCACUUGUUCUCGCAGGCGGAGCGCGGCGCGGCCAAGCCGUUAAACCCCCAACUUUUUUACUAGGUUGACCUCGGAUCAGGUAGGAAUACCCGCUGAACUUAAGCAUAUCAAUAAG